rnacentral:rRNA from 1 species
CCUACGGGUGGCAGCAGUGGGGGAUAUUGCACAAUGGGGGAAACCCUGAUGCAGCGACGCCGCGUGGGGGAAGACGGUCCUCUGGAUUGUAAACCACUGUGCCCAGGGAGGAAAAUGAGGGGACCAGGGGAGGAAGCGCCGGCUAACUACGUGCAAGCAGCCGCGGUAAGAAGGAGGGAGCGAGGGUGGUCCGGAAUUACUGGGUGGAAAGGGAGCGGAGGGGGGGCUGCAAGGUGGGGGGCAAAACUACCGGCUCACCUGGUAGUCGCACUCAAAACUGCAGCUCUUGAGUGAAGUAGAGGCAGGCGGACUUCCUAGUGUCGCGGUGAAAUUCGUAGAUAUUAGGAGGAACACCCGUUGCGCAGGCGGCCUGCUGGGCUUUUACUGACGCUGAUGCUCGAAAGUGUGGGGAGCAAACAGGAUUAGAUACCCUAGUAGUC